rnacentral:lncRNA from 1 species
GGGUUCCUGUUCUUUUUAGAGCACGCGCAUAAAAUUUGAAGUGAAAACGAAGAGCGUGCUCCAUGUUGAUUGAUGAUAAUAAAGCAAGAUCUCAUUCAGCAUAUGGUCUACAUUUCCAGUCAGUGAUGCUUGGCCUGUACGGACUCCUACCGAAGAGAUUCUAUCUCCACUUACAGAGUUCUUGGAUGCUAUCAGAGAUUUUUUCCAGGUUGUACAUCAGUCAGCAUGGAUGCUUCUAUGGAUGGUCUGCCCACCGCUGAGCGUACAACGUUAGUGGCCAUUACCGAUGCUUCCUUCAACAGUACUACAGUCAGCAAUCUCACGCCUCUCACAUAGCAAACAAGGUUGAUGAGAGACACCGUCUUCUUAGAUGCCUGCAGAAGGGAAUACCCUCUCCACUUUGAACAAAAGUUCUUGGACUUAUCGAAAAAAAUUCGAACACUUGUGGAAUAACUGGUUGGUACAACUGAGACAUAUUUACCCCAAAACAAAUAAUUAAAGGCAGCCAUGAUGCUAUACCGAGACUUGAUCGAAUGUGUCCAUAAGGGUUUCAUCUAGAGCAGUUCAAACAGGGUUAUGUGAAAUCGGUCACUGUUAUUAUUUAAAUUUGUUUAAAGGUACAGUCCAUCAUUUGCAGUAAUCUAAAAACCAACUGACCAAACUGUUGAAAAGCAUACAUGUACAGUACUCUUUUAACGGUUAUGGAACUAAACUCCCUGUGAAUACUUUUUUCUGGCCAACUGCUGGCUGUUGUGAAGAAAACCACGAGGACCGUUUCCAACAAUGUGUCUAAAGACAUCAGAAGCACGUGUAAGCGUUAACAAGACACGCAAGCACAGUUAUUAUAGAGCGUUUUCAAAACAAGUGGAUUCAGCUUAGACUUUGGUUUUGCUGGUUCCAGCCAUUUCGAAGCAGCGUUCGAAACAACUUGUUCAAGCUCUGACCGAAACCAGCAAAAUCAAAGUCUAAGCCGAAUCCUUUGGUUUCGAAAACACUCAUAGAUCAUCAGUUCAGCGGGAGACAUUGCGUUACUGCAUUCAAAUGAAUGUGAGAAUGCUGAAUUCAGUCACAACUUAAAGCAAGACUCGGCAACUUUGGAUCUGAAAUCAAAAUCCUACUGGUAGAAAUUGUUUUUCACAAAAUGCUAGUACCAUAUUCACUGAGCCCAAACUUCAUCAGGUUUGUUCUUAGGCACCCUUCUUUAAAUUUUGAGAAAUUUUGUUGCCUGAAAGGAACAUGAGUACACAGACGACAAGUGAUGGACUGUGCCUUUAACAAGAAUUCUUCUUGCUCAUUCUCUUAAACCAACUUUGAGUAAAAUAGCUUGGUUUCGAUUUCAUGCGUUUGUUUUAAAAAGUUUUCAUCAUGAUGGAUCAACUAAAAAAUCAGACUGAACUGUUGAUGCAGAACACCUUUUAUAUUUAUUUUAUUUUGCUGGUGAGGGAUUGUUGGGUUAUUUUGUCCAUUUUUAAUUAUGUCUUUUGUUAUCCAUUCUCAUUGGAGACUUUAUAGAAGUAAAUACUUUUUGCUUAGUGUUUUGUCUCUUAAGAAUCCGUUACUGUACUAGAACAUGUAUAUUGUCAACUCUAGAAAUAUGCAUUUAUAUUUUUACAAUUUGGUGGUGAACAAAUAAUUAAAUAACUGGAAAGAUUUUUCUGAGGGAUCAAAAUUGAAAGGUGUUUAUUUUGUGGAGCUGCAGUCUUUAAUAAAGUGAGCGGAAUGA